rnacentral:rRNA from 1 species
GACGAACGCUGGCGGCGUGCUUAACACAUGCAAGUCGAACGGAAAGGCCCUGCUUUUGUGGGGUGCUCGAGUGGCGAACGGGUGAGUAACACGUGAGUAACCUGCCCUUGACUUUGGGAUAACUUCAGGAAACUGGGGCUAAUACCGGAUAGGAGCUCCUGCUGCAUGGUGGGGGUUGGAAAGUUUCGGCGGUUGGGGAUGGACUCGCGGCUUAUCAGCUUGUUGGUGGGGUAGUGGCUUACCAAGGCUUUGACGGGUAGCCGGCCUGAGAGGGUGACCGGCCACAUCGGGACUGAGAUACGGCCCAGACUCCUACGGGAGGCAACAGUGGGGAAUAUUGCACAAUGGGCGGAAGCCUGAUGCAGCAACGCCGCGUGCGGGAUGACGGCCUUCGGGUUGUAAACCGCUUUCGCCUGUGACGAAGCGUGAGUGACGGUAAUGGGUAAAGAAGCACCGGCUAACUACGU